AGUGAACGCUGGCGGUAGGCCUAACACAUGCAAGUCGAACGGCAGCACAGUAAGAGCUUGCUCUUACGGGUGGCGAGUGGCGGACGGGUGAGGAAUACAUCGGAAUCUACUUUUUCGUGGGGGAUAACGUAGGGAAACUUACGCUAAUACCGCAUACGACCUACGGGUGAAAGCAGGGGAUCUUCGCACCUUGCGCGAUUGAAUGAGCCGGUGUCGGAUUAGCUAGUUGGCGGGGUAAAGGCCCACCAAGGCGACGAUCCGUAGCUGGUCUGAGAGGAUGAUCAGCCACACUGGAACUGAGACACGGUCCAGACUCCUACGGGAGGCAGCAGUGGGGAAUAUUGGGCAAUGGGCGCAAGCCUGAUCCAGCCAUACCGCGUGAGUGAAGAAGGCCUUCGGGUUGUAAAGCCCUUUUGUUGGGAAAGAAAAGCAGCAGGUUAAUACCCCGAUGUUCUGACGGUACCCAAAGAAUAAGCACCGGCUAACUUCGUG
rnacentral:rRNA from 1 species